AGAGAAUUCAUCAGCUUCAAAAGGACUCCUCCCUCAUCAAACCUCCUUUCUCCCAAGUUCAGUUUCUUCUAGACUUCUUCUUCUUCAAAAGUUCAAAACAAGAUCACAGCUCCCUCAAGCCCUUUAAUCCCUUAUCCUCUUCUCUUUUAAAUCCCUCAACUUCCUCAAAUCUACAAGCAAGGUAAGCUAAGGUUCGGUGAUUUUUUUUAUUUGGGUCUGAGCAUCGGUUGAUUUUGUUUCGACAGGCCUCUCCUCUUCUCGAUUCCUUUUCGAAUCCAGGGCUUCGGGUUUGUUUGUGUUCAAGUUGAUUGUUGUGGAUUCUUCUUUCCCCAAAGGUCACCUUCUUCAUUUCGGGAACCGAAGUUCUCCCCUGCUGUUCGGGAAUUUUGAAUUUGCUCUUUGUGAUCUCCCCUUUUGAUUCUCAGUUCUUCAUUUGCUCACAGAUUAGCCAUGUCGACGAGGAGAUCACGCUUUUUGAGGAGUCGCUCAGCCACUCAAUCACCUGAGAGGGAGCCUCUGUGUUUCGC